rnacentral:rRNA from 1 species
UAUACAUGCAGUCGUGGGGCAGCAGGUUUGUAGCAAUACAGAUGCUGGCGACCGGCAAACGGGUGCGGAACACGUACGCAACCUCCCUCUUUCUGGAAGAUAGCCCAUCGAAAGGUGGAUUAAUACUCCAUAAUAUAUUGAAGUGGCAUCACUUUAAUAUUAAAGCUCCGGCGGUAAGAGAUGGGCGUGCGUCUGAUUAGGUAGUUGGCGGGGUAACGGCCCACCAAGCCUGCGAUCAGUAGCUGAUGUGAGAGCAUGAUCAGCCACACGGGCACUGAGACACGGGCCCGACUCCUACGGGAGGCAGCAGUAAGGAAUAUUGGUCAAUGGACGCAAGUCUGAACCAGCCAUGCCGCGUGGAGGAUGACGGUCCUCUGGAUUGUAAACUUCUUUUCUCUGGGACGAAACCCCCGAUUUCCAUCGGGCCUGACGGUACCAGAGGAAUAAGCACCGGCUAACUCCGUGCCAGCAGCCGCGGUAAUACGGAGGGUGCAAGCGUUAUCCGGAUUCACUGGGUUUAAAGGGUGCGUAGGUGGGCAGGUAAGUCAGUGGUGAAAUCUCCGGGCUUAACCCGGAAACUGCCAUUGAUACUAUCUGUCUUGAAUUCUCUGGAGGUAAGCGGAAUAUGUCAUGUAGCGGUGAAAUGCUUAGAUAUGACAUAGAACACCCAUUGCGAAGGCAGCUUACUACGGAGUUAUUGACACUGAGGCACGAAAGCGUGGGGAUCAAACAGGAUUAGAUACCCUGGUAGUCCACGCCCUAAACGAUGAUUACUCGACAUUAGCGAUAUUACAGUUAGUGUCUAAGCGAAAGCAUUAAGUAAUCCACCUGGGA